rnacentral:lncRNA from 1 species
CUUGCCGACUUGCUUCUAAGCAACAGAACACAACAAUACACCUGACCUUUGUGUAACUUCAGAGGUGAGGUCAUAAAAGGCUGUGCAGAACCCACUCAAUGCUACGAGAAGCCCAAGCCCUGUGGAGAGACCAUGGAAGUGGCUUGGGUCAAUAGUCCCAGCAGAGCUGAGCCUUCAAGUCUUCCUAGCCCAGGCACCAGAGAUGGGAGAGAGGAACUCUCCAGGCUCUUGAAGUCCUAAGAGGACCUGGACUGGCAUUCUCCAAGGAACCUGCACCUCUUUUCCAAAGGACCCAGGAACAGAGGACAGCACAGCUGGCAGCUGAGGCCCUGCUGGACUCCUGAGCUGCCCCUCAGGCAUUGUCAUCAGUGUUGCUCACCCAUCAGGGCCAACAGAUGGCUCCAGAUCGCAGCAAAUCCUGGGUUUCACUCUCGUUGCCCAGGCUGGAGUGCAAUGGCAUGAUCUUGGCUCACCACAACCUCCACCUCCCAAGUUCAAGCGAUUCUCCUGCCUCAGCAUGCCGAGUAGCUGGGAUUACAGUGUCUUUAACAAGGAAACCAACAUCUUCCACCUAGA